CCAGCGAGAGAGCGUUGCCGCAGGCAACGACCCGAAGGGCGAAGCGUGCAGCGCUGAGUAAUCCUUCCCCCACCACCA
rnacentral:sRNA from 1 species